CAAUAGCGUAUAUUAAAGUUGUUGCGGUAAAAAAGCUCGUAGUUGGAUUUCUACCGCAGAUAGCCGGUCGGGUCUUCGACCUUGUAUCUGGUUUUGUCUUUGGUAUCCUCAUAGGGAACGUUUCUGCGCUUUAUUGCGUGGUGCGGUAUCUAUGACUUUUACUUUGAGGAAAUUAGAGUGUUCACGGCAGGCAAACGCCUUGAAUAUAUUAGCAUGGAAUAAUAACAUAGGAUCUUCGUCCUAUUUUGUUGGUUUCUAGGGCUAAGAUAAUGAUUAAUAGGGAUAAUUGGGGGCAUCUGUAUCAACGCGUCAGAGGUGGAAUUCUUGGAUUGCGUUGCGACAAACUACUGCGAAAGCAUUUGCCAAGGAUGUUUUCAUUGA
rnacentral:rRNA from 1 species